GGCACUUAUGGGGCACAGAGUGACACGGCACAGAGGCGCUUAUGGGGCAGAGUUGAGCACUUAUGGGGCAGAUGAGACACUUAUGGGGCUCGGGGGCACUUGUGGAGCAGAGUUGGACACUUAUGGGGCAGAUUUGGGCACUUAUGGGGCACAGCGACAUUUAUGGAGCACUUAGAGGGCAUGGAGUGACACUUAUGGGGCAGAGUUGGUCACUUAUGGGGCACGGAGUGAUGCUUAUGGGGCACUUAUGGGGCAGAAGGACGCACUUAUGGGGCAGAGUUGGGCACUUAUGGGGCAGAGGGAGGCACUUAUGGGGCACAGAGUGACACGGCACAGAGGCACUUAUGGUGCAGAGUUGAGCACUUAUGGGGCAGGAGGAGGCACUUACGGGGCAGAUGAGACACUUAUGGGGCUCGGGGGCACUUGUGGGGCAGAGUUGGGCACUUAUGGGGCACAGGGGGCGCUUAUGGGGCAUGGAGUGACAUGGGGCACUUAUGGGGCACAACGACAACUAUGGAGCACUUAUAGGGCAUGGGGUGACGCUUAUGGGGCAGAGGGAGGCACUUAUGGGGCAGAAGGACACACUUGUGGGGGCACAGGGGUCACUUAUGGGGCAGAAGGACACACUUGUGGGGCACAGAGGUCACUUGUGGGGCAGAAGGACACACUUGUGGGGCACAGGGGUCACUUAUGGGGCAGAAGAACACAUUUGUGGGGCACAGGGGUCACUUACGGGUUCGAAAGACACACUUGUGGGGCAGAAGGACACACUUGUGGGGCACAGGGGUCACUUAUGGGGCAGAAGGACACACUUGUGGGGCACAGGGGUCACUUAUGGGGCACAGGGGUCACUGGUGGGGCAGAAGGACACACUGGUGGGGCACAGGGGUCACUUGUGGGGCAGAAGGACACACUUGUGGGGCAGAAGGGGUUCACUUAUGGGUCCGAAAGUCACACUUGUGGGGCAGAAGGACCCACUUAUGGGGCAGAAGGGGUUCACUUAUGGGUCCAAAAGACACACUUGUGGGGCACAGAGGUCACUUAUGGGGCACAGAGGUUCACUUAUGGGGCAGAAGGACACACAUGUGGGGCACAGAGGUCACUUAUGGGGCAGAAGGCCCCACUUGUGGGGCCCAGAGGUGACCCUCCCCCCCCAGCCCCCCGGCGCCUGCAGGUCUUUGCCCGCCUUCGCCCGCCGCCCCCCGGCCAGCAGCUCUGCCUGCGCCCCACGGCGCCACACGGCCUGCAGCUCCUGCAUGGCGCGGGCAGGGAGCCCAGCAACUUCCGGCUGGACGCCGUUUUCGGGCCGCUGUGCCCCACAGCUGCCGUUUAUUCGGGGUCUUUGGGGCCGCUGCUGCCCCAGCUGUUGGCCGGGACGGAGCUCACCCUGCUCUGCUAUGGGGCCAGCGGCGCCGGUGAGUAGGGGGGCACCCUAUAAGUGGGGGUCACCCUAAAUACGGGGGCACAGCACCUAUGGGGUCACCCUAUAAGUGGGGGCACCCCAAAGAUGGGGGCGGCACAAUUAUGGGGUCACCCUAUAAGUGGGGGCACCCUAUAAAUGGUGGUCACCCCAAAGAUGGGGGGCACCGCAACUAUGGGGUCACCCUAUAAGUGGGGGUCACCCCACAGUUGGGGGCAGUGCACCCAUGGGAUCACCCCACAGAUGGGGGUCACCCCGUAUUUGGGGUCACUGCACUUAUGGGGUCACCCCAUACUUGGGGUCACUACGCUUAUGGGGUCACCCCACCUGUGGGUUUUCUCCCACCUUUGGGUGCCCCCCCCCACCUAUGGGUGCUGCCCCCCCCCACCUAUAGGUGUCCCUCCACCUUUGGGUGCCUUCACCCCUGUCCCCAUUAGGUGUCCCCCCACCUUUGGGUGCUCCCCACCCCCCCAUGGGUGCUCCUGCACCCCCUUUGGGUUCUCCCCCUUCCCACCUAU
ensembl:lncRNA